rnacentral:lncRNA from 1 species
CCUGUGCAGGUGGUGGUGCCCUCUGCGCCUUCACUGGGGCCCAGCCAAGUAACUGAAUCCAGCCAGGAGCAAGGGCAGACGCUGGCACAGGUCCUGCCACUGUCCCCAACCUGGGUUUCAACACAGCUGAGGCCUGGCAUAGUCUUUCUGGGCGCCUCUGGCUGGCUCGGUCUGAAAGGUGGGACAGAUGCAACUGGGGCCUCCCCGGGUGCAGCGUGGGUGGCUCCUGGCUGGGGAAGUGAGAAGCCCUCCGUGCGGUGUCUCUGAAGCAGCCCCAGGCCAAGGCUGUGGCGUGCUUGGUGGUGCUGUAGGCCCAAGAUGUUUAUGGGUCGAGGGUCCCCGGGGCCGGGAUUCUGAUCCCUGGUGAGAGGUGGCUGGGAGGAAGUCCAGACGUGUCCUGAGUGGCCAUUCCUCACACUGAGGUGACACCGCCUCUCCAAACACGUGACGUGGCUGGAAGCAGAUGCUGCUGUCCGGUUCUCCCUCCUCUCCGUCCCUGGCUGGGACAUGUGGAUCUCACCCGCAGCCACUUUCUUCUGGCCUCUGUCCCCCUGCCUGGGACACGUGGACCUCACCCCCAGUCUCCUUCUCUCCUCUGCCCCCCGCAGGCGCGGCCAGGUCACAGUCGGCACCAGAAGUUUGGCAGAUCUCAGUGAGGCGUUAGUUUGCAUUUCCUUGUGACGGGCUGGAGUACAAUGGUGCCAUCUUGACUCACUGCAACCUCUGCCUCCCGGGUUCAAGCUAUUCUCCUGCCUCAGCUUCCUGAGUAGCUGGUACUACAGGCGUGUGCCACCAUGCCCAGGUUUUGACUGGAAUGCCAGGCUUAACGUUGCUCAGAAGUUGCUUCUAUGAGGACGUCUCCCAGCAGCUGUCAGUGUUUCCAAUGAGUCAUCGCCAGCCCCUGCAAUGAGCCUCUCAGGCUGGUAAGUUUUGUUUCAGAACCGCUUCCUCAAGCUUCUUUUGCCUUUAAAAGCUUCCUCUUGCCCCAGCCUCCCAGGGAAUGCCUGUGGUCUGUCAUGGCUCACACAUCCUGGUUGAUAAUCCACUGCUGUUCUCCACGGAAUGCCUUCAUUUUGAGAGCUGCUCGCUGCCUGUUGUGGUUUCAGUUGACGGCCCACCGCUGUGUGCAGAGUUCACCAGCCGCUGUGGUGUGCAGUGCAGCAGCUGACCUGCCUGCCUUGUGGUUUUCUAAUCCCAUUGAGGGGACGUCUUAGGUGUUCUCACCAAGAAUGCACAGCAACAGUGCUGGGUGGGCCACAUCCUCCCUCACGUUUGGUGCCACCAGUUUUAUAGAUUUUGGCUACUGUGGGUGUGUGUGGUGGUUUUUGUUGGUGUUUACGACGCAUCUUCCUGGUGCUCGAGUCUGUCGAGCACUUUUUCUUGUGUUUAUUUGCCAUCAUUUGGCGAAGUGUUCAAAUCCUUUGACCGUUGUUUCACCAAGUUGUUUUAUUAUGAAAUUUUAGGGGUUACUUAUUCUGGAUCUCAGCACUUGGAUAAAUAUUUGAGAAUAUUUUUUGCAGUAAGUGACAUCGUUUUAUGUGGAUGAACAGAAGAUUUUAAUUUUGAUAAAGUCUAAUGGAUAUAUGUGAUGUUAGUGUAAUUUGAAUGCAUACAUAUGUAUAUUUAAUGCAUUCUUUUAUGAUGAUUGUGCACUUCAUAUGAAAUGCGGCAACCUUGCCUUGCCAUCCCGGAGGCCUCUGCUUCUCUGAUCUGUGGGUGUCACAGGCACUUCACUUACUCACACCUUAUGGCACGGUUUCUUUUGCUCUAAGCCUGCACGUGUGUUUUAAAGGUAAUUUCUUCCGUUAGAGAAGUCGCGUAGGCUCACCCUGCUAUUUGCCAUUUCUGGAGCUCUUUAUCUCCUUCUUCAUAUCUGCAUUUCCCUCUGGAAUCAUUUCCAUUCAGCCUGAAGAACUCUUCUGCCUGGGACUCCACCUUCUUUUCUAGCAGCUGGGCUCAUUGGGAGCUCUGUCCUCUGGUGGCUCUGGCCAGGGGACGCUGGGUUUUCUCUUAGGGUUUCAGUUGGCCCGUGUGGUGCCAAUGUCAACGUGUCUGUAGGCCAGAGCCAGCAAUGAGCACCCCCUCGGUCUGGCCCUGAGCUCCAAGGCCCCACUCCCACGGGAUCUUGCUGCCAGGACCCCACUCUCUGCAUCUUGUCCAGAGUGUCGAGGAGGGCAGGGUCCAGCGGGAUCUCUCGGCCCUCCCAGGGCUGAGUCUGUGCUCUGACCUUUCCUGGGAGGCACUCAGGGCCAACAGAGCAACAAGGGGCCUUUCCCUGUGGCUCCCUCCCCUCUGGAGAAAAUGGGUCAGACCUGGGUUUCUCCAUAGUCACUGUCCCUAAAAUGAAGCCGGGCUGCCAGAGGCGGUUGCAUCUCCCGGCACCAAGACCCCAGAGUCCCUGUGAGAAAGAGGACCAACGACGAUGGAAGCCUUUCUCUAAUGUGCGCACAGCCAGGCCGCUCCUCUGAAGGCGCUGAGCCGCCUCUAAUCACAGCGCCACACUGGCCACAGGUCGCUGGGUAUAGGAUGAACCCAGCUGUGAAUAGGAUGCAUUUCCUGGGAGGUUUCUGUGAAGUUACUGAACUGCCAAAAGGUAAGCAGUUUUAAUUGAUUUGUGAGUCUUCAAUUAAGCACAGCAGAAUGCUAAUUAAAUAUUCUCUGUUCUUUAAAUAGAGAAUGCUUUAAAUAAUUCAGCACAAUCUUUGCAUAAAUCACACCAUUCAGCUGAGGUGCCUGUCAGCAGUCAAGUGAUUGAGAGCACAAACUGUCCCAAAGACACAGCCCCCUUCCCCCUGGAGACGCGCACAGCCUGCAGAAGAGAUGUCACCUGAUGCAGCGUUGUGGUUUAAAAACUCAUUAUGGGAAGCAUGAGGCUGGACCCAGGGGACCCUGGAGGUGAUGCAGGGGCUUUGGCAGCCUGGAAGCUGUUGGAGGAGGGGCCCUUGGUGGAAGUGGGGACAGUUUGAGCCUCCGGCCUCCAAUUCCCUCCCGCUGGCUUCUGGGCCGCACCUCCAGGAAUCCAGCUAGACCCGCAGGGCUCUGACUCCAGACUUUAUUAAAUGUUUCCUCUAACGGUUCUGGCCAUUCUGCUGGGCCAUUAAAGGCUACCCCAGGGCCUCAGAUAUGAGCGUGGUGUCUGUAUGUGGUCCUUUCAUGGAGGGCAGGAAGCAUCAUAAUUACUUUUUUUUUUAACGGUUUUCAAUUUGUGUUGACAAAGAGCCUUAGUGAAUCUGUUGGAAGAAGAGUGACUUCAAAAUGAACCUGACUCCCUGUAUGUUAGGAGUCCAUAUUCUCUGAUACAGUUAACGUUUUCCUUCCAACCUCUUCACUGUUCAAGCAAAGUGGUAUUUUAGCUAUUCACUGUUUGACACUUUAAUAGGAGUUUUGAUGAGCAAUUUCAGGAUGUGGAAUUGCUACACUGCACCAGGUUCCUGCAGGAGCAGCAGCCUCAGCCUGUGGAUGGGACGUGAGAUCUUGGUGUUUCUCCUGGAGGAAACGCUGUGCUGCUGUGUUGAUGACGGGGCGUGUGUGGGGUUGAUGAUGGGUGAUGGAGUGUGGGGUUGGUGACAGGUGACGGAGUGUGGGGUUGACGACGGGUGAUGGAGUGUGGGGAUGAUGAUGGGUGAUGGAGUGUGGGGAUGAUGACGGGUGAUGGAGUGUGGGGAUGAUGAUGGGUGAUGGAGUGUGGGGAUGAUGAUGGGUGAUGGAGUGUGGGGAUGAUGACGGGUGAUGGAGUGUGGGGAUGAUGAUGGGUGAUGGAGUGUGGGGAUGGUGAUGGAGUGUGGGGAUGGUGAUGGAGUGUGGGGAUGAUGAUGGGUGAUGGAGUGUGGGGAUGAUGAUGGAGUGUGGGGAUGAUGACGGGUGAUGGAGUGUGGGGAUGAUGAUGGGUGAUGGAGUGUGGGGAUGGUGAUGGAGUGUGGGGAUGGUGAUGGAGUGUGGGGAUGAUGAUGGGUGAUGGAGUGUGGGGAUGAUGAUGGAGUGUGGGGAUGAUGACGGGUGAUGGAGUGUGGGGUUGACGACGGGGCGUGGGGUUGAUGAUGGAGUGUGGGGAUGAUGAUGGGUAUGGAGUGUGGGGAUGAUGAUGGGUAUGGAGUGUGGGGUUGAUGACGGGUGAUAGAGGAGUGUGGGGAUGUGAUGGGUGAUGGAGUGUGGGGAUGAUGAUGGAAUGUGGGAUUGAUGACGGAUGAUGGAGUGUGGGGAUGAUGAUGGGUGAUGGAGUGUGGGGAUGAUGAUGGAGUGUGGGGUUGAUGAUGGGUGAUGGAGUGUGGGGUUGAUGAUGGGUGAUGGAGUGUGGGGAUGAUGUUGGGUGAUGAAGUGCGGGGAUGAUGAUGGAGUGUGGUGAUGAUGACAGGUGACGGAGUCUGGGGUUGAUGACGGGGCGUGGGGUUGAUGAUGGAGUGUGGGGAUGAUGAUGGGUAUGGAGUGUGGGGAUGAUGAUGGAUAUGGAGUGUGGGGUUGAUGACGGGUGAUACAGUGUGGGGAUGUGAUGGGUGAUGGAGUGUGGGGAUGAUGAUGGGUAUGGAGUGUGGGAUUGAUGACGGGUGAUGGAGUGUGGGGAUGAUGAUGGGUAAUGAAGUGUGGGGAUGAUGAUGGAGUGUGGUGAUGAUGACAGGUGACGGAGUGUGGGGUUGAUGACGGGGCGUGGGGUUGAUGAUGGAGUGUGGGGAUGAUGACGGGUGACCGAGUGUGGGGUUGAUGACGGGGCGUGGGGUUGAUGAUGGGGUGUGGGGAUGAUGACGGGGCAUGGGGUUGAUGACGGGGCGUGGGGCUGUUGAUGGGGUUUGGGGUUGAUGACGGGGUGUGUGGUUGAUGACGGGGUAUGGGGUUGAUGAUGGGGCGUAGGGUUGAUGAUGGGGUGUGGGGUUGAUGAUGGGGCAUGGGGUUGAUGACGGGGCCUGGGGUUGAUGACGGGGUGUGGGGUUGAUGACGUGGUGUGGGGUUGAUGACGGAGUAUGGGGUUGAUGAUGGGGUGUGGAGUUGAUGACGGGGUGUGGGGUUGAUGACGGGGCAUGUGUGGGGUCGAUGAUGGGGUGUGGGGUUGAUGAUGGGGUGUGGGGUUGAUGAAGGGGCGUGGGGUUUAUGACGGAGCUUGGGGCUGAUGAUGGGGUGUGGGGCUGAUGAUGGGGUGUGGGGCUGAUGAUGGGGCAUGGGGUUUAUGAUGGGGUGUGGGAUUAAUGACGGAGUGUGGCGUUGAUGAUGAGGCGUGGGGUUUAUGACAGAGCGUGGGGUCAAUGACAGGGUGUGGGGUUGAUGACGGGGUGUGGGGUUGAUGACGGGGCAUGGGGUUUAUGACAGCUUGUGUCAGACGAAGCCACAUCAACUCAUUCUGAGCACCCCUUUCCUCAAAACAUAAGGAUGAGCAUGACCAAAAUCUCAAGACAUUUUUCCUAAGUCCUUAAGACGGAUGAACUUCUACAGGUAAGUAGGUAGAUUAAUAAACAGAGGUAAGGAAUGUUGGCAUGAAGAAGCUCCCUAGGCUGCUGUGUGGCUGAAGCUCUGACUGGUCAUGCUGGUUAAGGAUGCGUCUGAGCAAGAUCGGUCGCUGACAGGUAGGUGUGUAGAAAAUAACCUAUAUGUGGUGGUCCAUUUUCAGUUCUAAGUGCCUUCAUAUAGGUUUAAGCAGGCUAUGUGGAAAUAGAGAAAUAAAGAAGCAGAAAUGUACUGAGUCACCACCCUGCCCUCCUUCCUGCUUUCCCUUUCACCCAGCGGCCACGUGCCUAUCAGUAGGAGCCCCCUCAACUACCCUCUCCUCACCCCACCAAAGAAUUUAGUUUAGGCUAGCUUGCAACAUAAAUAAUUAUACCCUUUCUUAUCAGCUACGUGCAGCCACCAGGGCCAUAGUCAAAUGUUUGAAGAGUCCUGAGACAGUUGCAAUGCAUGGUGGGCUGCAAUAAAAUGCAGCAGAAAGAUCCUAAAGAACAGACUUGAAAUCUUAAUCCAACGACCAAUAGGUGAUGUCCAGGAAGAUCGUAACCCCAUUUACUCAGUCAAUGAGGAACUGGGGGAGGGACCUGCGCACUAGGGGAUAAAUUGCUUGUUGAAACUCUGCUGGGGGUGGCUGCAUGCCAGCCAGACACCCAGUCUUGCAAGACUGUCAUUGAAAAUCUCCGUUUUGCUGUUCUCCGGGUCUCUGCGUCCAGUCUUUGUGUUUGGACGGGUGAGUUUGUUUCUCACAGGUGCGACUCUGUCUCUAUUUGCAUCAGGUUCAGUUUCUUCCUGGUUGACCUUGUGGGUGUGAAUGUUGUCACAGACCUGCCGGGCCAUCUUUCUGCAAGAAGAUAAAGGAAGACCAGGAGUGCCUGCCGAACUCCUAUGGAGGAAGUCUAGGAGAGGAAGGGGACAGGGAGGAAGAUGGUGUCUGCAAACCAGGAAGCAGCCUUGCCAGACACAGGAUUGGCCACAACCUUGACCCCAGACUUCCAGCCUCCAGAACUGUGAGAAAUAAAUGUCCAUAUUGACUAGGGGCACAGGGCAUGGGGGAACUGGUUCCAGACCUGCCUCCUGGGAAGUUGGGAGGGGGCAUUUCAACCUGUUAAUUUCUCAAAUUAUGUAGUCAUUCAAAAAGAAAUAGAAACACUUCAUUAACUUUGUGAUUGCCAAAUUAUUGAUCAAUUCUCAUAGAAAGUUAUAACAUUUCCCCUUUUGGUACAUUUCUGUUAAAAAGAAGGUUGUCUUUCCAGCCUUAUGUUUUGUAGUUUAAUUUGCUCACAUUCAUUAUAAUCCAUUAUUUAAUACAUUUUUCUUCCAUUUGAUCAUAUUACUUGCUGAUAGGAAGGACUGAGUUCAUUUUCAGCGUGUCUGGCUUUUCCAUUUCUGUGGCCUGGGAAGGUGGGUGGCUACAUCAUCAUCCAUGGUCUCUGAAAUAUCCUGUGUUACCAAGGCCUGCUUGUUCCACCAAACUGCUCCAUAGGCAGUUGUGACACCCAGAAAGAUGCUGAUAUGGUUUGGCUGUGUCCCCACCCAAAUCUCAUCUUGAAUUGUAGUUCCCAUAAUCCCCAGGUGUCUGGGAGGGGCCCAGUGGGAGGUAAUUGAGACAUGGGGGCGGGUUUUCCCAUGCUGUUCUUGUGAUAGUGAAUAAGUCCCAAGAGAUUCUGAUGGUUUUAUAAACAGGAAUUUCCCUGCACAGGCUCUCUUGCCUGCCACCAUGUAAGACCUGCCUCUGCUCCUCCUUCACCUUCCGCCAUGAUUGUGAGGCCACCCCAGCCAUGUGGAACUCUCCUACUGCACUGAGAAGCACGUGUUCUCCAUUUCCCUGGGGGAGACCAUUGUAUUGGGCAGUUUGGAACAAAACACCAUGGACUGGGAGGCUUACACAACAGAAAUUUAUUUCUUGCUGUUCUAGAGGCUGGGAAGCUCAAGGUGCUGGCUGCAUAUUCAUUCUGAGGCCUCUUCUGAUGUGCAGGCAGCUGCCUUCUGACUUGUGCUCACAUUGGAGAGAGGGAGUCAGCUUUGGUGUCUCUUCUUGUAAGGACACUAACCCCAUUCACUAGGGCCCCACCCUCAUGACCUAAUCACCCCCAAAGGUCCUGUCUCCAGACAUAUCACAUGGGGCAGAGCUUCAAUGUACCAAUUCUGGGGGGUCACAAACCCUCCGUCCAUAGCAGACAUCUUGGUUGCUCCCAGUUUUUAGAGAUUAAGAAUAAAACAACUGUAAAUAUUUACAUGCAGGUUUUUGUGUGAACAAGUUUUCAUGCCAGCUGGGUAAAUAGCUAGGGCUGUGAUGGCCAGAUCCUGUGGUAAGAUUCUGUUCCACAUUCUAAGAAACUGCCCAACUGUCUUCCACAGUGGCUGUGCCAUUUUGCAGUUCUGACAGCAAUUCUGUAGCUCCACAACCUCAUCAGCACUGGGUGGUGGUGCUUGAAUUUUGCAUUUUAGCCAUUCUAAUUGGUGUGGGUAGUAGUUCUCAUUUGGGGUUCAAUUUGCUUUUUCCUUUUUUUUUUUUUUUUUUUGGCAGGCUGGACAUCUCCUAGAGGGCAAUAGAUUCUGGUUUUGUUUUUUUUUUUAGACAGAGUCUCAUGCUGUCACCCAGGCUGGAGUACAAUGGCAUGAUCUCUGCUCACUGCAACUUCUGCCUCCCAGGCUCAAGCAAUUCUCCUGCCUCAGCCUCCCAAAUAGCUGGGGUUACAGAUGCUCGCCACCAUGCCUGGCUAAUUUUUGUAUUUUUAGUAGGGAUGGAGUUUCACCAUGCCAGCCAGGCUGGUUUUGAGCUCCUGAACUCAAAUGAUCCACCCGCCUUAGCCUCCCAAAGUGCUGGGAUUACAGGCGUGAGCCACCGCACCUGGCUGAGGGCAAUCGAUUCUGAAUAAAUAGGUUGUGAAUUGGAGAUUUGCAUUAACCCUGCCCAGGGCCGGGCUGUGUUUGCUGUAGCUGUGUGUGUGUAUAACUUCAGAUCCCUCUGUGACCUCCUUUUGUCUCCCUUUGUGGUUUUGGGCUUUCCUUUGCUGUUCCUCGGACAGCCUGUGUCUCUCAGGUCUCUUAGCUGUAAUCCAGUUAUCCCAGAGCUUGUCAGUUAGAGGGGAGGGAAGGGUUGGGGAGGGGCAGUUCCCUGGUCUCUGUCUUUGGACUUCAUGGGGCCUGUGCCCCCAUCCUGCCAUGGCCUUCACAAGGGUUUCUGUCCUCGCUCCAGAGUGAGGUGCCACCCAUCCCCCAUCCCCCACCCAUCC